GACGAACGCUGGCGGCGUGCUUAACACAUGCAAGUCGAACGGAAAGGCCCUGCUUUUGUGGGGUGCUCGAGUGGCGAACGGGUGAGUAACACGUGAGUAACCUGCCCUUGACUUUGGGAUAACUUCAGGAAACUGGGGCUAAUACCGGAUAGGAGCUCCUGCUGCAUGGUGGGGGUUGGAAAGUUUCGGCGGUUGGGGAUGGACUCGCGGCUUAUCAGUUUGUUGGUGGGGUAGUGGCUUACCAAGGCUUUGACGGGUAGCCGGCCUGAGAGGGUGACCGGCCACAUUGGGACUGAGAUACGGCCCAGACUCCUACGGGAGGCAGCAGUGGGGAAUAUUGCACAAUGGGCGGAAGCCUGAUGCAGCAACGCCGCGUGCGGGAUGACGGCCUUCGGGUUGUAAACCGCUUUCGCCUGUGACGAAGCGUGAGUGACGGUAAUGGGUAAAGAAGCACCGGCUAACUACGU
rnacentral:rRNA from 1 species